rnacentral:rRNA from 1 species
GCGCACGCUGGCGGCAGGCCUCACACCUGCAAGUCGAACGAACCUUUCGGGGUUAGUGGCGGACGGGUGAGUAACACGUGGGAACGUGCCUUUAGGUUCGGAAUAACUCAGGGAAACUUGUGCUAAUACCGAAUGUGCCCUUCGGGGGAAAGAUUUAUCGCCUUUAGAGCGGCCCGCGUCUGAUUAGCUAGUUGGUUGAGGUAAUGGCUCACCAAGGCGACGAUCAGUAGCUGGUCUGAGAGGAUGAUCAGCCACAUUGGGACUGAGACACGGCCCAAACUCCUACGGGAGGCAGCAGUGGGGAAUCUUGCGCAAUGGGCGAAAGCCUGACGCAGCCAUGCCGCGUGAAUGAUGAAGGUCUUAGGAUUGUAAAAUUCUUUCACCGGGGACGAUAAUGACGGUACCCGGAGAAGAAGCCCCGGCUAACUUCGUG